GACGGAGGAUGCAAGCGUUAUCCGGAAUGAUUGGGCGUAAGCGUCCGCAGGUGGCAGUUCAAGUCUGCUGUCAAAGACCGGGCUUAACUUCGGAAAGGCAGUGGAAACUGAACAGCUAGAGUAUGGUAGGGGCAGAGGGAAUUCCGGGUGUAGCGGUGAAAUGCGCAGAUAUCAGGAGGAACACCGGUGGCGAAGGCGCCACUCUGGGCCGAACUGACGCUGAGGAGCGAAAGCAUGGGGAGCGAACAGG
rnacentral:rRNA from 1 species